rnacentral:rRNA from 1 species
GAUCCUGGCUCAGGAUAAACGCUGGCGGCGCACAUAAGACAUGCAAGUCGAACGAACUUAAUCGAUUCUUUUAGAUUCGAAGCGGUUAGUGGCGGACUGGUGAGUAACACGUAAGCAACCUACCUAUUAGAGGGGAAUAACAGUGAGAAAUCACUGCUAAAACCGCAUAUGCCGUGAAUAUCGCAUGAUAAAAACGGGAAAAGAGCAAUCUGCUAAUAGAUGGGCUUGCGUCUGAUUAG